rnacentral:tRNA from 4 species
GCGGGCGUAAUUCAGUGGUAGAAUGUCAGCCUCCCAUGCUGAACGCCGUGGGUUCGAGUCCCACCGUCCGCU